AUGACCUGUUCUCUUUGACUUUCUAUGAUGUGACAGUCUUCACUGCUUCUAUGUCAUCCCCCAUGCUUCCUGUCGUGUCAACGCAAAAACAAAGGGGUUUUCCUUUGGAAAGUCCCAUCAUCCUGAGCAGCACUACGAACAUCCUCCAGCAGUUCACUGGUUGCUGCUAUUGCCAGACUUGCUGCUUGGUUGUGAAGAUGUCCAUGUUCAGAGGUAAAAGUGUCUUUAUUGAUCCCACCUUUAGGCUCCUUUCCUGCUGUUCCAUCAGGAAACCCUCCAUGGCUGCAUUUUCCUGGUGAUUAAUAUUUCAAUUAAAUAAUUCCGUUUUUCAUACAGACCUCUCUUUUGAAGAUAUAUAUAUAUAUAUAUAUAUAUAUAUAUAUAUAUAUAUAUAUAUAUUAUAAUAAG